CCUACCUAGUUAAUAUUUUACAAUGUCACGUCAGACUAGUUACAAAAGAAACGCCUUCUCGAAAGGAUUUGUGUAAGUGACAUCGGUGAAAUCAUAUUUAUUCAAGCAAAGUUUGGACAAAGUUCCAGUUCUGAAGGGAUCAGUUGGGUCGACAGGGGCCAUUUGUCAUUCGACACGCGAUACUUUAAUCGACUCGAAACAUCGAAAGCUGUGUCGAAAGGAUCGGUAAUUGGUGCAUAGAACCAUCGACGGCGGGAACGAGUUUGCGAUAAGUGCGCACAUUCGCAUCCUCUUGCAAAAUUCCAGACGUCGUUGCAACGUGCACUAACAGACCUCGGCAGAGAUGUGGCGCUUUUAUUUUCAAGUGGCACUAACAAGAUCAGGAAAACUUUCUCAUGAUUAGGUACUCAUAUUUUAUGAAGAGAGUAACGUUAUUUGAGAAGCUACUUUGAAUAUGGAAACUAGAAAUACAUUGUGUUUAUAUAGUAUAUGGAUACUAGAAAUACACUGUCCAAGAAGACAAUAAUGUUUUGAGUUUCAAAAUUAUUUUGAAAUAUUAAAACACUUAAUCGAAGUAAAGCUGUAACUGAGUGGUACCCCAGAAAUGGAAAACGGUCGACGAUGUAAAGGAAAUUGUGGCAACAACUGGAUGGGGAUGGCCCAGGACAGAAAUGGUUGGCGGAGACGGAUGGAGGGCUAUGCUCAGCAGUGGGUCACGGAGGGCUGCAGAUGAUGAUGAUGACAAAACAAAUGUAAUUAUCAUAUAAUAAAUAAUUACUCAAAUAAACAAUUUUUUUCUAUUA